rnacentral:lncRNA from 1 species
CAUAUUUUGACCAAGUCAACAUCACAUGCCAAUCACAUGUCCAUCAUGCCUCACCUCUUGAUCUUUCAUGAUGAUGAUCCAAGGGCUCCAAUGCAAGGCGCCAUUCACUUGAUCCAUUAUGUCUUCAUCCAAUGGUGGAAUUUAGAACCAAUGGUCAAUUAUGAUAGCCAUCCUCUAACCCAAUCCAAUUGGGUUAAACCAACUCUCCAUUAUGUCUUCAUCCAACGGUAGAUCAAGAUCUAACGGUUUAGAUUGAAUGAUUUAUCAAAUCUAAUCCAAUUAGACUCAAACCAAGCCAAUUAGGUGCCAACUCUUGGCUAACCCAUAUUAGAACAUGAUCUAAUCAAAUUAGAUCAAUUAAGAAUCAGAUUGGAAUUCAAUUCGAAUCAGAUUUGAAUCCAAUUCGAAUCAGGAGCUAAGGGUUUGCAACACCUGCUAGGAUGUCUAUCUUGCAAACAUGAUUUAAUCCAAUUAGAUCCUUGAUAAGUUUCCUUGUGUGUGACCCAUUGGGUUCCAUACUUAGCCAGCAAUAUGUGUGAGUGCGAGUUAACCCAACUUGAUUAGAACUCUUCUAAUCGAUUUAAGUCCAAACUGCACGAACCCGAACUUAACAAUUAGAAUUCUUUCUAAUUGGUGAUCGAAUUAAACUCUUUAAUUCGAUCAAACCUAUAAGACAAGAUUGACGUCUAGCAACGUGUCAUGUCUACUCGGAAAAUAUAGAAUUUGGUGGAAAUACCAAAAACACCCUUCAGUGGUAAGUUACCGUGCAAUUCAAUCCUUCAAUUAAACUGCAUUCCGAAUAUGUAUAUGAGUAUGAAUAUAUGUCAAACUCAAUUUCAUAUUCAUAUAUUUCUCAAUUUUCUAAUGAUAAUUCGAAUAAUGAAACAUUAGAAACUCUUUCUAAUUUUCAUUCUGCUUUGAUCAAAGGCUCCCUGAAUUAUCAUAUGAUUAGAAUAAAUAGGAUGCGAUCUUCUCUUACUAUAAGUGAUUAAUUCCUUGUUGACUUACUCAUAACCUUCGCACACAAUCUACCAUAUCCAGAAGACCUCGUACACAACUUACUGUCAUGAAUGAGUGUAAACCAAAAUAUGGAUUUAUGUGCACAAGAUAUCAUGGUGAUCUCAGGUCAAAGGAUCAGUUGCACAACUCCCACUAAGAGAAUCAUCUUUUGACAUGUAAGUAAGACUUCAUAAGAUUUCUCUUUGUAGGUCAAUUCAGUGAACUCAUUCUUCUAAUGAGCACCCAUAUCUUUGUAUUAGUGUCUCCACACAAGUGAUUGUGAGAUCAAUCACCCUCUGCAUCGAGCAUACAUAAGAUGUGCCAGUCUUGCCGGUAAAUAUUGAUCCUCGACUCAAUGUACCAAUGACUGGAAAUAUUUAAUAUUGGGGUUUUAGGAUUUUAGGUCUCACUAGUAUGAUCUCAUCAUAGCCUCAAAACCAUUGCCCUAAUCUAAGGGGUUCAUCACAAAUAUAAUCAACAGCAUAUGAUAAAACACAAUGCCUUUAUUCAUAUUUAAAUGUCAUGUACAUGAUUUGGAAAAUCAAAAGAAAAUCCUUUGCAAUACAUAUUGCGAUUGGCUUGUAGGGCAUCUACUCUUUCAAAAUCCACAUCCAAGGCCUUGCUGCUGGAUCUUUUUUCUCUCUCUUAGAAUAUGGAGAAUAACAUGUUUCAUAAUGCCCUAAACUGGUAUCCUAUACCACAGCUUGUGUACUAUGUUAAUCACUUCAACUUUUAGGAUAUCUAACAUUAACCUGGACGUAUACAGGUUGUUUAUGGAUCUUGAUUUUUUUUCCUGUUUUUUAUGGGAUUUAUUCCAGCUGUUUGAUGCAUCACUUGGUUCAGUUUUAUCUUCUAAUUAAAGCUGGGUGGGCCUAGGAAGCUUGUUGCCCAAGGUGACAAGCCAAAAGGGGGGGUGAAUUGGUUUCUUUAAAUUUUUACUAUCUUAAUUGAGUCAAUUGAUGAGUGAGUGAAGUUAAGACAAUACACAAUGCAAACACACAAGAAGUAUAGUGGUUCGGUGCUCUCCUAAGCACCUACGUCUACUCCCCAAGCGACCUCUUGGAAAUUCACUAUAAUCUCGCGGAUUACAGUUGGAUUGUUUUCCGGAUUCACAAUCCAAAAAUCUUUACACUUUGAUUUUCCGGGAUCACCAAAAACCUACGUUGGUUUUACGGGCUCACCAACGAACCUUCAUAAUUGGUUUUACGGAUUCACCAAUCAACCUACACCAUUGGUUUUACGGGCUCACCAACAAACCUUUACAAGGUGAUUAAAAAGAAGAAAGUUGAAACUCCUAGAUGAGCAAAUAUAACAAUUAUAAGCUACAAAGAAGAGUUUAGAAUAUAGUUAUCGCUUGAUGAGACUUCUCUCUUCUUUAUCAAGAUUGCUUCACUCUUCAAGGGUUGAUGAAUCUCUUAAUGUUGCUUAGAAUCUGCUUUUCCACUUUCUUUUGACUCUUGAGUGAAGCACUUGGAUAAAGAAGAUUAGGGCACUUGUCUUUCUUGUGUAAGCUUUGAUAUUUUGCAAAAGGAUACAUUCUCUAAUGAAUAGUGUCACUUUAAAUAGUUUUCCUCAUCCAUUGGACACCCCCUAUUGGUUAGAUUUCAAAAACUAGCCGUUACUUA